rnacentral:lncRNA from 1 species
AAGAUAAGGAGAGAGAGUUCUUGAGUUCUGAUGUGCAAGACGAAAGAGACAUUCCAAUAUUUCACAAUCACGGAUGGAGCUUGAAGAUACAUAGCAUUUGAACACUUUUUCAUACACAGUAGCAGAUCCCCACCCUCAAAGCUUACUCAGCAUAUUCCCCCUUACAGCUUAAAUUUCGAAGGGGAGUUGCUCACUUACAGAAAGAAAGGAUCCAAAAAAAAGGAGAUUAUUGAAUAUUACAGUACACAAACGACAGAAGAGGAGAUGCGACAAAUCCUUGAAAAGCUAGGCCGAAUCCUCAUCACUUCUUGAAUGGAAUGGCUCUGAUCACCACCGUGUGGUACAAAGCUGCUAGAGCUGCGCCGAUGAAUGGGCCGACCCAGAAGAUCCACUGCAAAUUUUACACAGACGAUGUUGUUAUUAUAGAUCAAUUUGAUGAAGAACCAUGUCAAAGAUCGGAACUUGACCCCAAAUAUCUAAAUGGAACUUACGUGAUCAUCCCAUCCCUUAUCCUGGUUGAAGAUGAUGGCAGCGCCGAGGCUCCUAGCUGGGUUGAUUCCCGUUCCAGUGAUGGGGAUUGUGGCCAAAUGAACCAAGAACACCGCGAACCCAAUCGGAAGGGGAGCCAAAAUCUGAUCAAUUUCACAUCAUUAGUUCUUGCAAGGUCAUAAUCAAUCAGAGAAGAACACAAGCAGCAAUGGGAAGGGGUAAUUACAGGAACGUGGGAGUCUCUGGCACUACGCUUGGCAUCAGUGGCAGAGAAGACAGUGUAGACAAGAACGAAAGUUCCAACAAUCUCAGCACCAAGCCCAUCUCCCUUGGUGUAUCCAGGGUUAACAGAGUUAGCCCCGCCUCCCAAUAGCAUGUACUGCUGCUUCCCUUCGAAACCCUUCACUACACCAGCACCACAGAUGGCUCCUAGGCACUGCAUCACCAUGUAGAACACCGCUCUUGUCAGAGACAGCUUCCUCGCCAAGAAAAGCCCGAACGUCACCGCCGGGUUUAUGUGGCCACCUACAGUCAAUUCAUCGAACACAUAGCAGGCAUCAGAACAACUUUCACCACAGCUCAGUCAAAAAUCAAAGUCAGCCAAAACUCUGGAAAGUAUGUGGCCACAGGUCUCGGAUGAAAUUCAUCGAACACAUAGCAG